AUGUGAGAUCAAAUAUUAGUUAUUUUUCCAAUUUGGGCUACGGCUUCUGCCGUGGAGCCCCUCGGCUAUUUUGAUGUUUUAAAUAGAUUAUUACGAGCGUCAGUGAGCAACAGAGUUGGACCAGAGGAACAAUGGCAAAGAGAGCUCUACAUUCUGGCAUGGCAGGAAACUCCGGUGAAUUCCCAACUACGACGCCCAACAGGAAAAUCAAACUGAGGAUAAAUCCAACGCAAGCCUUAACAACGGAAGCAAGAGACGAGGAAAUAUGUGAUAAAGAAACAAGACCCAAAAAUUCAAAGAGGUCUAAGUCGUCUUCGAAGAUGAAGAUUGACCCUAAUAAGCCAAAGAAGCCACCCACUGCCUUCUUCUUCUUCUUGGAAGACUUCCGCAGAGGAUAUCAGGAAGAGAAUCCAGAGGUCAAGUCAAUGCGUGAUAUCGGAAAGGCUUGUGGAGAGAAGUGGAAGAUCAUGACUUAUGAGGAAAAAGUGAAGUAUUAUGACCUUGCAACAGAAAAAAGAGCCGCAUUUGACAAGGCAAUGGAAGAAUACAUUAGAAGAAAGCGAUGAUUUUUCACACAGGAGAGUGGUGAGUAUGAAGAAUCUAAAGAUUCAGAAUCCGAAUUCGAGUCUGAAUAGACAAUGAUAGGAGGGAAAUCUCGAAUGAUCAGCAUAGAACUAGUAAGGUUGGACUACGUACUUCAGGAUAUCAGGAACCUAUCAUUUGGGAAUAUUCUGAAUGCGUGUAUUUCUCUAUGCCCACUUCUUGGAGUAUGAUUUGCCCGCUACCCUUCUUCCUCUGAUUUGUCUUGUGUGGGAUACUGGGUUGCUGACUCUAACUUUGACUCUUUGUUAGCCUACAUGUCUGAAUAACAAGUUUCUUCUACCUUCUCAAUCAAACCCAGGACCCCAGAUUUUGAAGGGGUUGAACAUUUUCCCACUUCAGUCUGAAGAACUUGCCUAUCUCAUUAGAUGAGUCAUAAUUUCUAGUUUCCACCUGCAACAAAAGGGUUUUCUUGUUUAGGUAAAAAAACUACAUGCAAAACUAUGUGCAAGAUUGCGUGUAUUGAACUUACAAGUUCCAACUAAGUUGGAGUCGUUUAAUAACAUUGACAUUAGUGUAAUGGAUGUUAUAUUCCGUCAUUUAUGCAAUGAUAUGUACAUUAGCUUUGUGUAAGUGCGAGUAUUUUGUCCCUAUAUCUUUAUGUUUUUUUAUGAAUCUAGACUAAAAUUUGUACUUUAUUAAUAAAAGUAUACCAAAAGUCUUCUUAACUAAAGUAUAUCUAAGACAUUUGGUUUUCAAUCCAAGUAAGUUAGCUUCUUAAAUCUACCUUUUGAAAGGGGUUUGGUGAAAAUAAGAGCCAACAUACGUUCUCUAUCAAUCUCAUUAGAUUGACUUAACUAUAAUUCGACAUUUCUUUGACACAAUAUUUAACUUUCAUAUGUUUUGUCUUACGAUGAAAAAUAGGGUUUUUGGAAAUUACUAUCACUGAAUCAAUAUCACUGAGCUUCACCAAUAUCUAGACACGUAAAGUCUAUAGUCUUGGCACGAUUUGGUUCUUUUAUGUCUGACUAGAUUUAGAUGAUAAUGCAUAUCAGUGCUUAAUCCCGAGGAGCACACAAUCGGGAUUGUUACUGCUCGGGAGAUUUGAUAUGCCGCUGCUAACGUAGGUGUUGCUUAAUGCUUUAGGAAAGAUGAGAGUUUUUGUGAUUCACAUUAAGCUUGUGCAGGAUAUCGGAUUGCUAACUCUGACUCUUUGUUAACGUACAUCAACAUGUCUGAAUAACAAGUUUCUUCUACCUUCUCAUUCAAACCCAGGGCCCUAGACUUUGAAGGGGUUCAACAUUUUCCCCCUUAAGUCUGAAGAACCUGCCCAUCUCAUUAGAUGAGUCAUAAUUUCUGGUUUCCAGCUACAACAAAAGGGUUAUCUUGUUUAGGUAAGAAAAACUAGCAUGCAAAACUAUGUAAGAUUGCGUACAUGUAACUCUAAAAUUCCAAUUAAGUUGGAGCCGUUUGAUGCAUUGACAUAAGUGUAAUAGAUGUUAUUUUCCGUCAUUUAUGCAAUAAUAUGUAAACUGCUUUUUGUAAAUGUGAGUAUUUUGGAAUUUUUGAAAAACGUAAGCUAAAAAAAAAAAUUAAUUAAAUAAACUCAAAAUCAAACUAUUUUCAAAAGUA